rnacentral:rRNA from 1 species
UGGGGAAUAUUGCGCAAUGGGCGAAAGCCUGACGCAGCGACGCCGCGUGGGGGAUGAAGCUUUUCGGAGUGUAAACCCCUUUCGACCCGGACGAAUGACCCGCAAGGGUUUGACGGUACGGGUAUAAGAAGCCCCGGCUAACUACGUGCCAGCAGCCGCGGUAAUACGUAGGGGGCCAGCGUUGCUCGGAAUUACUGGGCGUAAAGGGUUCGUAGGUGGUGCGGCAAGUUGGGAGUGAAAUCUCUGGGCUUAACCCAGAGGCUGCUUUCAAAACUGCCGUGCUCGAGUGCGAGAGAGGUCAGUGGAAUUGCAGGUGUAGCGGUGAAAUGCGUAGAUAUCUGCAGGAACACCCGUGGCGAAGGCGGCUGACUGGAUCGCAACUGACACUGAGGAACGAAAGCUAGGGGAGCAAACAG